GGGGCUGUGGCUCAGUGGCAGAGCACUUGCCCAGCACGUGUGAGGCACUGAGUUUGAUCCUCAGCACCACA
rnacentral:tRNA from 1 species